UACUAUUCUCUGGAGUUGUGUUUUAUGGAGUUGCCCUCCAGGAAAAAACAUUCAGAACUAUGUAAUGAAAAAAUGCUCUGCGUUUGUACUGUGUGCAUGUGUGCGUGCGUGUGUGUGUGUGUGUGUGUGUGUGUGUGUGUGUGUGUGCAUAUAUCCAACUGUCUUAUCUGGUAGAAUUACUCUGGUUUAGGUUUAUUCUACCCCUACUCACCUCCACCUCUUUCCCUCAAAUUGGAGCUAUAGCUGCCAACCUACGUCACAGCCACAGCAACACCAGAUCUGAACUGCACCUGCGACCUACACCAUAGCUUACGGCAACACUGGAUCCUUAACCUAACCCAUUGAGCAAGGCCCGGGAUCAAACCUGCAUUCUCAUGGAUAAUAGUUGGGUUCUUAACCUGCUGAACCAUGACGGGAACUCCCCUCAAAUGAGAGUCUUGACUCGAGACUACAGACAUGAAGGAAUAAUUUGAGAACCAACUCACUGAACGUCUGAGAGCUCAGGGCUCAAGGGUGAGAAGAUGUCAGGUGGGACUUGGAGUCAAGAACUGAGGCUCUCAUUUGUUCUUCCUGAAUGUGAUUGUAAAAGUGUAACCUUGAGGUUUCCCCAUGCAACCUGUUUUUGCCCGUGGUUGCCAGGCAACCACACAUAACACCUGCACACCUCCUUCCCUCUCUAUCCCCCAGGAGCCCACCCACACCAAAGGCAUCAGUGCACGACAUGAAAGGUCGAACAUUUUGUCCCCAGAAGAUAUUUGCCCCUUUUUCCGAGUCACUCUCAUCUCUGCCUUCAGAGAAACUGUCCCUCAGGCAGCCCUGAGCCUGGCUUUACUUCAUCCACCGCACGUUACCACACAAAACUGUUUCCUUCUUCAAGAAUGGAGGAGCUUGAAUUCUUAGAUGCUGAUGAGAGAUGGAAGACACAGAUGAGAGAAGUGAGCCCUAAUGGAACAAGGCUGUGGAGAAGGAAGGCGUGAAGGGAUGGAAGGUGCAGGUUCAUCGAACGGGAAGAGAUGUACUAUUUCUCUGCCUCUGAUGGGAAGGAAGUGAAAUAAACAUGGAUACAGCUAGGUUUGUGGUGAUGGU
rnacentral:lncRNA from 1 species